CCUACGGGAGGCAGCAGUGAGGAAUAUUGGUCAAUGGGCGCGAGCCUGAACCAGCCAAGUCGCGUGAGGGAAGACGGCCCUACGGGUUGUAAACCUCUUUUGCCGGGGAGCAACGGGCGCCACGUGUGGAGCCACUGAGAGUACCCGGCGAAAAAGCAUCGGCGAACUAAGUGCCAGCAGCCGCGGUAGUACGUAGGGGGCAAGCGUUAUCCGGAUUGACUGGGUGUAAAGAGAGCGUAGACGGUGGGGCAAGUCUGAAGUGAAAGCCCGGGGCUCAACCCCGGGACUGCUUUGGAAACUGUCAUGCUGGAGUGCUUGAGAGGUAAGCGGAAUUCCUAGUGUAGCGGUGAAAUGCGUAGAUAUUAGGAGGAACACCAGUGGCGAAGGCGGCUUACUGGACAGUAACUGACGUUGAGGCUCGAAAGCGUGGGGAGCAAACAGGAUUAGAUACCCGAGUAGUC
rnacentral:rRNA from 1 species